UUACGGCCGUAUCACGUUGAAACAGCGGUCCUCGUACGAUGACCGAAGUUAAGCAACAUCGAGCCUGGUCAGUACCUAGAUGGGUAACCGCUUAGGAAUACCAGUAGCUGUAAG